rnacentral:lncRNA from 1 species
CAGAUAUAAGACAGCAAAGCUGUUCUUCCUGCUUUCCCUAGCUAGCUUCAGCUAUUAAAUUAACCUGUGGAAUCUCAACUGAGGGGGUGCCCAGAUCAGAAUGGAAUGUGUCCCUGUCUGAGAAAUAAUCUCUUGAGUGAUGGUUAAUGUGAGAGGACCCGGUCCACUGCAGGCAAUACUGUGCCUGUGCAGGUGUGUUUGGACUAGUUCUACAGCAUGGAACAGAGAGCUCUCUAAAGAUGACAAGAUGCUUGUGUUUGAUCUUUAUCGCCACUGGGUUGCUAGGAGUUUCCAGGUCCACACACCCCCACUCAGGCAGAACCUCAUGGAUUAAUGCUGAGACAUGGUGGGCCACGACAAAAUGGCACCACCACCUCAGGGUCUGAGAACGGGGGAAGAAGCCAUGGACACCACGAAGAAAUGGACAAGGCAGAGGCUUGGACACUUGGAAGAGAUAGUCGUCGUGGGCGAACCGGUUGGAGAAGAAGCAUGAGCAGAAAAAAGAAAAAAGAAGUGGCCGAAUGUGGUGGAGAACGACGUGUGCUGGCUUCUGGAUCGGUUGAUGAGAUGCAUGGAGCAGAGAGGAAUUGGACCUGGGCCCACAGGAGACUGUCGGAACCAGCUGGAGUGAAACACUGAACCUGUAUUCCUGAACUUUGAGGGCAUCUGACCUACAGCUGGAGGCAGAAAGGAGACCCACCCAGUUCCAGUUUUGAGAUGCUUUCCAGAGUUCCAGCUUCCCUACAGACGGACUACAUUCACCUCUCUGAAUCCAUGACUGCUCACCCAGGAGCAGACUUAAGAACUCGACAAAAAAUAGCUUGCUUUCUUGCCACAAACAAACACACAAAAUUGUUUUGCCAGUUUUCCCGUUGGGAAAAAGGACCCAUUUAGGGCAGUCGGAUACUGGCAUAAACCAGAGUGGCAGAAGCUCCUUCACAAUGCUUAAACAAGACAUGGACAAAAGACUUUUUAGUUAACUUUCAAAGACUGAUAUUACAAACCUGAUGUUAGUGUAAGACCCUCAGAAAGCUGAGGCUUCCAGAAUCUUAGCCCAGGACGGCGGCCACCCCAAACACAGAAUGGAGGCGAAAGCUUGAUGCAAACUGCAUGAGGCUUUAUUGUAGUUUAACGAGCUAACCCCAUGUUAGCUCGGGUCUUUCACCCACCCGCCAUGGCGGAUGGCGAGAAAAUACGGCUCCUACGGGCUCCCAAAAGAUCUUAUAGGGCAGCCUAAGGGGAGUGUCUAGGGGUACGCACAGGCUUACGCACAGGCUCACGAUUGGUGUGCUUCCAGGCUUGGAAGGCUUGCCCUGUAUUGAUUGGUCAACU